CCCUCAUCCAUCCAGUCUUCCUCCUCGUAGUCCCACCAAGAGUCUGUCAACUCCAAAAAACAAUAGCCCCAACACUCAACCUGCUAUCCGCCCAAUCCAGACCCCCAAAAAAGGCACAGACAAAACAACAUCCAUCUUGCUCAUUGGACACCUUCCAAGCAUCUACAAAUUCUGAAGAGCAAAGUAAAUACUAAAUAGUGUGACAACAUAUGACUCAUUUGCCAUAGCUCAGAAUUUUUCUUUGUGCUAAUUUUCCUAGUGAUAAAUUAUAUAUGGGAGGGCAAGAAACAACAUCUGUUGUGGAGCAAGAUGGGCCCCUAUAAACUAUACACAAAUAACAUAAUGGAUCUGGCACCGGGCAAACAGCUAGAAAGUUGUAAAUGCUUAUCGACACAACACUGCAGACCAAUUAAAUAUGUCAGGAGAGAAAAAGGCAUAUUUAAUAGAUUCCUGUCAGAUGACAUCAAUCUGGAAAGGAAGACAAAAAGGCUUGAAAAAGUUUUAGCUGGAUCCAUCCAUGUAUGAUGUGCUUUUUGGGGUAGUUUGUGUAAACAACCAUUGGACAUUUAUAGCAAUGUACCCAAAGAUGGGAAAGUGCAUAUAUAUUGACCCUUUUUGUGCCAAACAAACAGCAAUCGGCCAAAGCAAUGAUGUGACAAGGCAAGUAUGUGAAGUCUGUUGAACUGAGAGGGAGGUAUCUGUCAUUCUAUAACAUGCUGUUGUUGAAUUGUAGCCUGACAGGUGAACUUUCUGUUUCAUAGAUCUUUCAUGAGGAUGAGGGAUCUGCACAUUUCAAAGUGGGGAUGCUACACAAUUGUGCAUCCCACUCAGCAGGAGACCGCAUCCUGUGGUGCAUUUGUUUGCAAACAUUUCUUCUGGAGGAAGAAAUGAAUUUUUCUGCAGAUGAACCAGGCAUUGUUGUGAUGCGCAAAGACAUUACUACAAGGCUUUUGAGAGAAACUGAUGACCUUUCAGAACUGUGCCGUUAUUGUGGAGAGCUACAUACAUACAAAGGCCAAACUGACCAAUGGAAUAUGGAAGAUGGUUCCACUGGGACUGUGUGGGCAGACCCUCCACAGCUGGCAAAUACAGUUGCCCAGCA